GAUGAACGCUGGCGGCGUGCCUAAUACAUGCAAGUCGAGCGAACGGACGAGAAGCUUGCUUCUCUGAUGUUAGCGGCGGACGGGUGAGUAACACGUGGAUACCCUACCUAUAAGACUGGGAUAACUUCGGGAAACCGGAGCUAAUACCGGAUAAUAUUUUGAACCGCAUGGUUCAUAAGUGAAAGACGGUCUUGCUGUCACUUAUAGAUGGAUACGCGCUGCAUUAGCUAGUUGGUAAGGUAACGGCUUACCAAGGCAACGAUGCAUAGCCGACCUGAGAGGGUGAUCGGCCACACGGGAACUGAGACACGGUCCAGACUCCUACGAGAGGCAGCAGUAGGGAAUCUGCCGCAAUGGGCGAAAGCCUGACGGAGCAACGCCGCGUGAGUGAUGAAGGUCUUCGGAUCGUAAAACUCUGUUAUUAGGGAAGAACAUAUGUGUAAGUAACUGUGCACAUCGUGACGGUACCGAAUCAGAAAGCCACGGCUAACUACGUG
rnacentral:rRNA from 1 species